CUGGCACUACAGCUCAGCUCUUGGCUCCUCCCAGGAGCCCCAGGGUGUGGUAAGAGAAAAGGUCAUGAGCAAACAUCUCAAGGCACAGCUGCUUCUGGACUAAGAGCUUUGAAUUCCGGUGCCGCAGACCAUGUGUUGCUCAUCAGAAACCAGGCCAACUGACGAAUUCUGAAACAGGCCUUCAGGAUUUCAACCAAGAACACAGGACUGAACACUUCCUGCAACCAAGAUGCCACUGCCUUACCCUGAAUCAGAUAAGUAGUCUUGUCCAGUUCUCUAAGUAAUUUCUAGCAAGAGAGUGAGUCUCUCAACAGACCCCAUGGGUUCGCUUCUGACGGCGAAGUAAAGAACAAAGCCCACCUCUGAGAAGUUCCUGAUAUCGACGGAAUAACUACAAAGAAGCUGGCUACCUCCGGUUCUCUUCCUUUGUCAUCUCUUCCUAGAGAAGAGACUGGAGAGGUGGAUUAAGGAAUAAAGGACAAAAGGAAAUGAAGAUUUAAAAAAAAAAAAGUCUGGGGUCCACAGUCCUCUUCAGUCUCUCCACGUCUUGACCCCGGGUGACUCCACAUUCCUCAGC